CAAUAGCGUAUAUUAAAGUUGUUGCAGUUAAAAAGCUCGUAGUUGAAUUUUUGCUUGCCGCCGAUGUCGGAACUUCCGUACGUUCGGCGGCGUGCAUCCUUGGGUGGAACCUGUGUGGCAUUAGGUUGUCGUGCAGGGGAUGCUCAUCGUUUACUGUGAAAAAAUUAGAGUGUUCAAAGCAGGCUUACGCCGUUGGAUAUAUUAGCAUGGAAUAAUAAGAUAGGACCUUGGUACUAUUUUGUUGGUUUGCGCACCGAGGUAAUGAUUAACAGGGACAGUUGGGGGUAUUCGUAUUCCAUUGUCAGAGGUGAAAUUCUUGGAUUUCUGGAAGACGAACUACUGCGAAAGCAUUUACCAAGGAUGUUUUUAUUAA
rnacentral:rRNA from 1 species